UACGGGGGGGGCAAGCGUUGUUCGGAAUUACUGGGCGUAAAGGGCGCGUAGGCGGCCUUCUAAGUCGGACGUGAAAUCCCCCGGCUUAACCGAGGAACUGCGUCCGAUACUGAAAGGCUUGAAUCCGGGAGAGGGAUGUGGAAUUCCAGGUGUAGCGGUGAAAUGCGUAGAUAUCUGGAGGAACACCGGUGGCGAAGGCGGCAUCCUGGACCGGUAUUGACGCUGAGGCGCGAAAGCUAGGGGAGCAAACGGG
rnacentral:rRNA from 1 species